rnacentral:rRNA from 1 species
UAGGGAGCAAGCGUUAUCCGGAAUUAUUGGGUGUAAAGGGUGCGUAGACGGGAUAGCAAGUUGGUUGUGAAACCCCUCGGCUCAACUGAGGAACUGCAACCAAAACUAUUAUUCUUGAGUGCAGGAGAGGAAAGUGGAAUUCCUAGUGUAGCGGUGAAAUGCGUAGAUAUUAGGAAGAACACCGGUGGCGAAGGCGACUUUCUGGACUGUAACUGACGUUGAGGCACGAAAGUGUGGGGAGCAAA